rnacentral:rRNA from 1 species
UACCUGCAGCCCAAGUGGUGGUCGAUUUUAUUGAGUCUAAAGCGUUCGUAGCCGGUUUGAUAAAUCCUUGGGUAAAUCGGGAAGCUUAACUUUCCGACUUCCGAGGAGACUGUCAGACUUGGGACCGGGAGAGGCUAGAGGUACUUCUGGGGUAGGGGUAAAAUCCUGUAAUCCUAGAAGGACCACCGGUGGCGAAGGCGUCUAGCUAGAACGGAUCCGACGGUGAGGGACGAAGCCCUGGGUCGCAAACGGGAUUAGAUACCCCGGUAGUCCAGGGUGUAAACGCUGCCGACUUGGUGUUGGAGGCCCUUCGGGGGCAUUCAGUGCCGGAGAGAAGUUGUUAAGUCGGCCACUUGGGGAGUACGUCCGCAAGGAUGAAACUUAA